CCUACGGGAGGCAGCAGUGAGGAAUAUUGGUCAAUGGGCUUACGCCUGAACCAGCCAAGUCGCGUGAGGGAAGACUGCCCUAUGUGUUGUAAACCUCUUUUGUCAGGGAGCAACGCCGGCUACGUGUAGCCGGACUAGGAGUACCGGAAGAAAAAGCAUCGGCUAACUCAGUGCCAGCAGCCGCGGUAAUACGGAGGAUGCGAGCGUUAUCCGGAUUGAUUGGGUUUAAAGGGUGCGUAGGCGGAAUGCCAAGUCAGCGGUAAAAGCGCGGGGCUCAACCUCGCUCCGCCGUUGACACUGGCGGUCUUGAGUGGGAGAGAAGUAUGCGGAAUGCGUGGUGUAGCGGUGAAAUGCAUAGAUAUCACGCAGAACUCCGAUUGCGAAGGCAGCAUACCGGCGCCACACUGACGCUGAGGCACGAAAGCGUGGGUAUCGAACAGGAUUAGAUACCCGUGUAGUC
rnacentral:rRNA from 1 species